rnacentral:rRNA from 2 species
GGGGAAUAUUGCACAAUGGGCGAAAGCCUGAUGCAGCGACGCCGCGUGAGCGAAGAAGGUCUUCGGAUCGUAAAGCUCUGUCUUUGGGGACGAAGGAAGUGACGGUACCCAAGGAGGAAGCCCCGGCUAACUACGUGCCAGCAGCCGCGGUAAUACGUAGGGGGCGAGCGUUGUCCGGAAUUACUGGGCGUAAAGGGUGCGUAGGCGGCCAUAUAAGUCAGGUGUGAAAAACCACGGCUUAACCGAGGUAUUGCACAUGAAACUGUAUGGCUUGAGUACAGGAGAGGAAAGUGGAAUUCCUAGUGUAGCGGUGAAAUGCGUAGAGAUUAGGAAGAACACCAGUGGCGAAGGCGGCUUUCUGGACUGUAACUGACGCUGAGGCACGAAAGCGUGGGGAGCAAACA